rnacentral:rRNA from 1 species
CUACGUAGGGGGCGAGCGUUGUCCGGAAUGAUUGGGCGUAAAGGGCGCGUAGGCGGCCCGGUAAGUCUGGAGUGAAAGUCCUGUUUUUAAGGUGGGAAUUGCUUUGGAUGCUGUCGGGCUUGAGUGCAGGAGAGGUAAGUGGAAUUCCCAGUGUAGCGGUGAAAUGCGUAGAGAUUGGGAGGAACACCAGUGGCGAAGGCGACUUACUGGACUGGAACUGACGCUGAGGCGCGAAAGUGUGGGGAGCAAACAGGAUUAGAUACCCUGGUAGUCCACACUGUAAACGAUGAAUGCUAGGUGUAGGGGGUAUCGACCCCUUCUGUGCCGCAGUCAACACAAUAAGCAUUCCGCCUGGGGAGUACGGCCGCAAGGUUGAAACUCAAAGGAAUUGGCGGGG